CCUUAGCAGGAAACUCCUCAAUCACCGUCUCGAGAUCGUGGCACCUCUGAACAAACGGUUUGUUUACACAGUCUGCUUUCAAAGUGGCCUGCAGUAAGCAUGGGCUUCUGCAGGUG